rnacentral:lncRNA from 1 species
UUUAACUCCUGGUAGCGUAAUGAUAUGUGAAAAAAUAAAAAAGAACCUUGAAGGGAGGUUGCUACGAUUAAGGAUACGCAAAAAUUUAUGCGUAUGCUUUCUUGAAGCCUCUUUCACAGGCUGCUAUUCUUGCUCUAUGUGCAUUUCACCUUUCCCAUUCCAGUAAAAGUACAGAAGCACCACAAAGGAAGUUAAAAAGAUUACUGCGAGAACGUCACACCUCGUAGUUACCCGACACCCUACACAUGGUUACUCGGGAAUUUUUCAUAGGAUUGGCCGUGCCACCAUUGUGGUUGGAUCGUAUUACGCAUGAAUGUAUAGUGGCAGUCAGAUAAAACUUUGGACGUUACUGCUUAUAAACCUUGAAACGGCGAUGCUAAAGGGAUUAAGUAAGAAUUUUGUACAUUGCAACGCUUUUUUUACUGCAUUUAGAAGUUUCAUUGGAUAUAAUAUAGUUUUUGCAUUCAUAUCUUCUUUUUAUACAUGAAUAUUGUCUUUCUUUUUACAAAUGAAAGUUGGAAACUAAGCAAUUUAUGCGAGUCCAAACAUCAGCUCCUGUGUGGAUUGUGGUCAAGUGGCUGCUACCAUAUUUGCAGGAGUAAAACACUAAAGAGGAAUAGGAUGCUUUGGAAAAUGCAGAAUACAAAAAUGGUGCAAUUUGUAGAACAUGCAUGAAAGCUUUCGGGCUCCAAAUUUCGCAUCUUAUUUAUGACAGUGUGAUGCAUGAUCUGUUACUCCGUGAUGGAUUCAAUACACUUCAGUUUCUUUAUAGCUCAUUUUUUUUUUUAUAGAAAACUUGCAGCACCUGCUUGAGAAAGUGCUGAUAUGAAACUUAUUUUUGCACCAUUGAUGAAGUUCCUUGACAUGGUCCUAUUUCCAAUUAUCUGCACAUAUUUUGUAUUUUCCUAGGCUCUGUGAUAGAACAUGUAUACUACUAGACUUUGAACUCUGUACAAAAAGAAAGGGCUGCCUUUAGGAAUUCAGUACGAUGGGCCUGCUGUGUAUGUGAGGGGCUUGCAUGUAAGUGGUUGGAUAUUCUAGUAUGUGCUGAAAGUAGUGAAUAAAAUUGAAAUGAGUACAGAAAGUCUACACGGAAACAUUUUUUUUCAUUGUAGCAAUAGCAGUUUUCCCACGUUCGUUCUAUUCAAUACCGCAUGUGUUGCUAGCUCGGCAUUUUGAAGCUACUUCUCAGACUUAAUGUGCAGGCAUCCGGCUAACAGGAAAUGUAUUAUCGUAUAGGAAAUUUGCCGAGGAGCUUCCCAGAAGCAGUUGUCGCUCCGAAGAGUGCCGAUCCCCUUGUUGGAUUGAUAGGUUCGCCUAUUGCAUGGGCAUACGCAGAUAAGUUUUCGUGCCUUCUUUCUUUUCUGCUGUUGUGCGUUACUUCAGUUGUUAGUCGGCGUUUGUGGUGUCCUGACUUCUUUCUUGUGUCCGUGUUUGCACGCUCUGUCUUUUUAAAAAAGAAUGAAUACUUACCAACUAGCUCAGCUCACUGUUAUUUUAAGCCCCUUGUUGGAAUGUUGGCUCUGGGCUGAGGCUUCCAUUGUUUCACUGUUGUUCUUAACCUCCUAGUUAAAGCUUUGCCUUGUUUGAUUAGAGGUGCUUGAAAAGCUGAAGCGCUUAUCAAAACAAUCUCCACUGGGUUGAUAAAAUUAAUCAGUCACAUUGCACUCUGAUAUGUAGAGCACUCAGAAGGAAGACCAGGAGGGUCGCUGCUGCAUGGCACUACUUUAUUUGUUGUUUGCUUAAAUAACUCUGAAAAUGGCCACUACUGCUGGAAGAAAGUUGUGAAUUUCAUCCCUCGAGUUGUGGAGUGGGUUUACCUUGGUCUUCUGCUUGUCAUUACAGAUUGGCUCUUCGUGAUAGGCUCUCUCAGUCUGACUGACACCUCACUAUGUCAUUAUUUCUCAUUUUAGCUUGUACAUUUUGGGAAACAUUGCACAAUCCUUAUGCCUUGGAUGGAGGAGUUUGUGGUUGUGAGAUAAUGUAGCUUAGUGUCGCACAACUUCAUACUUUCUUGAAGAGAGCAUGAUGUAUGAUUCUGUCGCCAUCGUAGACUUUACUUUGGCAGUGGGAGUUAUUAAAUUAUGUCAGCAAGCGAAGAAGCCUGGAAUAAUGAGAAGGGCUGUAAUAAGUAUUUGCUUUGUUAUAAGCGUACCUUUGCAGAUUGUGGUCUAGCGAGGUUAAAAUUGUGAUCUGCAACGAUAAAAUAAAUUUGAAUUGCUUUACUUAGUCCUCAUUCAUCUCAGAAAACAAAAUGCCUGGAAAGCAAUAUUAAAGCUGCCGUGUAUCCACUGGAGAUCUCAGUGGCAUUGCAGCACCUUGAGAUGCUUUUCUGGUAGCCCUGUUUUUAAAGAAUUUGUGGAGUGCAAUGUUGGGGAUGAGAGAAAUAUGUUCCUGCUUAACGAAACACAGUUGGCUGAGCGCACCAUUUAUCUUCUUGAUUUUUAUCUAACACGCAUUUUUUAUAAUACUAGAAGUUAUCUUUAGUACCCAACCUGUCGGCGCGUUGGGAGCACUGAGAUGGGUUUCGUGGUUUUGGAAUGUUCAUGUCACACCCUACUUUUGUGUGGCUUUUGUAUGUCUUGGACAUUGUGUGCUAGUUUGCCCCAUGUUGCUUAUGACUGUGUUACUGCACAUCGAAAUAUAUAUUAAUAUGGUGCUCACCCAAAGCACAGUUGUCACUACAUUGCUGAAACGAAUGCCUAUACAGCCAAAACUGAAGACAUCAGCCCACUGUCUCUUUUGCUUAGAGCUAUGUUUAUCCUCUAACGUUACUGUAAUUGUUAGUGGUUGUUCAGAAUGUGAUGGAAUGAAGUUCAUCUUAAAUAGUGAACAGUAUUUAACCUCAAAGUUGAAUGUAAUUUUAUACAAGAAGCAGCCUACUGACUUUCUUCUUUACAUUCAUUGAUCUGUCACCCAAUAAAUGUGUGUAGCCAAACUACCCAAGUCCACUGGUGUGUUGUUCUGACUGAUUGGCGCAGUUCUGAACGCAGUACAGUAAUAGUACUAACCACCGUUACCGCAGUAUGUCACUCGACUGCUACCGUGUUCACUUUGUCAUUCUUUUCAUGUUGUUGCCCCUUUCAAAGUGUAUGGAUAAGUUAUCAAAAGGUUAGCACGGCCCUGUAAUGUAUUAAUUCACAAAAUUGGUGAAAUUUGUUCUUUCCUAUCCUUCAUUCUUUAGAAGCGUUGCCUGCUGUGCUUCUAAAAGUAAAGUUUCGGUGUCAGUAAAUAAUGACACUUGACAUUCGUAAGUCCAAAUAUGUUCUUAAAAGGCGAGAGGUCCAGAGCUCUUAUUUCAUAAUAAUGAAGUAUAUAGGUACUAGUGAGCGCAUGUUUAUUGCACUUGGUGCUCGGUUAAAAAAUAAGUUAUAUAUGUAUAUAUAUAUCAAAUACAGUACGUAAAAGCAAACUUGCUUUCAUGUAAGAGUAUCUUCUGGGCUGGGAGCUCUAAGGAGUGCAUGCUUAAAUGUUUCCUAGCGGAUUGCCUAAUCUUAAUGCCCCAUGCAAUCCUCUACUGCUUUUGAAUAAAUUGUGCUUUCUUUUGUGUGCACUCCACUGAUCAAAAUGGGUGACACCAAUGACUGUUAGCUUUGUACGGUGCGUGUGCAACAUCGAUUAUUUGUCUUAACCUUAACGUGGAUGUUGUCUAAUCCCAUUGCAAACUUUGUCCAUAAUGCUUAAUAUUUUAUAAAUGUUCAGAUAAAGUUAUGGUGUAUAUAACUUUUGCAACAUGCAAUUUGGUGAACAGUUGAAUGCUUUGAACUGAGAGAAAUCGCUCAAGCACAUUUGCUCAGUUGCGUUGUGCUGAAAUUUUUUUUAAACGAAAACCUCCAUCACGAACUUUGAACCCAUCCUCCAUGAAACUUAUUGAAAGCCUGGUACUGCCUACCAUGUCUGUGUGUUCAGUGCCUGAUGUCACAUGUACAGCACACUUUUUUUCACAAAAGGUUGACUGUAUAGCAUAUCUGAGGCAUUGUCCCUUGAACUGUGUGCUUAUGCUUAGGCAAGUGCUUUGUACUGUUACAAUGAUUUUCAUGGGAACUGACAACGAUGUACCGGCUCCACUGCUUUGCCCUUUGGACUGUUUUGUUAUUUAUCAGGCAGUGAUAAAGCCGAGAAGCAUACAAAAUGUAUUCUCUGAUUAUUAUUGUUAAUAUACUUGCAGAAACACUCAAACACUAUCAAUACCCAGAUGCACCAAAAUUUUUGCAUGCCUAUUGACAUUAAGAAUUUUAUAUUAAAAUGCCAUAAGAAAUUUUUAGGGCUCGUUAGCACUUGUGUGUUGACAUGAAUAAUUUUAAUAUUUUCAUUGGCGCACAAUAUGUUACGGGAAAACUUAAUUUCAAAGAAUUUGAAUACAACCACUCACUGAAUUCUUCAAUGCCCAAUUUUUCAUACUCAUAAAUUACAUUGACACCAACUGUGACACUGACUUGUUAACCUGAUGUAUGAAGGCAAUCAAAAUUUCUGCCACUGUUACGUGCAUGUGUUGUGAGUGCAGUUAUGAAGAUAUGUGGCACCAGUCAUUUUUGCGGAGACUACAAGGCAAAGUGUGUGCUGAUAAUGUCUCUGUAAAACAAAGCCUGUGACUCUUUAACAGCGAAAGUUCUGAAUCAUCAGCUUUUAGUAUAUUUCACCAAAUUAAAAAUGUCUUGGUUGGGACUGUAGUUUUCCUUUUUUUUCAGUUUCUUACGUGGGUAGGUCUGUUUUUACCGUGUUUUCAUGCUAGUAUGACUGUCAUGCCUUGUUUUGCUUAACAUGGCUAGCCAUAUCAAUGCUGUUCAUCUUGGUUAAGUCGUUUCAGGGCAUUGGUUCAAUCAAAUCUUGCUCAAGAUGAACUAUGUUUAGCAGCUUUCGCUUCACAUGCUGGUAAUUGCUGGAUGUAGUUUCUUAGGAAAGUCUAGUAUACAAUCAUGUCACAGCAUUCAUCUCGCAGUUGCAUAUUUUUUCAGUGCCUGUCGUCUUGCAGGUGUAGCCUGUUACCAGCACAAUCAUGAGCCUCCUGUUACGAGUCCGUUUUCUUCCCCCUUCUUCGUCAUGUCUGUGAUGUUCCAAGGUGGUUUAUAAAUUACUAGUAAGGGGCUCUGCUGCGAUUUUAUUCACAUGAAACUACAUUAAACUGCAUCUGGUUUCAUGUGUGAGAGAACAGGACGUGCUUACGAAUACGUUGGUGAAAAAAAAGGAAAAAAUUAUGUGCAGCAUGCUGACAUGUAAACAAUGGACUUUUUGAAGGAGCUUGAUAUCUCAUGUCAAGUUUUCCUCCUUUUGAGACUAAGGUCCUGUUCAAGUGAUCCAUGCAAUGAGAAUAAGAAAGUAAGCUUCAGUGAUGCAGAUGCGACCAGAUGAAACAAGCUGGAAGCUUUGAACAUACACGUGGAAAGACAAUGGUACAGUGCAUUUUUCGGCCUCAUGGAACUUGUUUAACUGCGUCAUCAUAUGCCUUUAAAUUAUUGAUGCCAUUAAACACUAAUGUGAGCAAAGGAACUUGGGUGACAAAACUGUUCGGGGACUCCUCUGAUGCAUGAGAUUAAAAGCUGCUGUGAAAUACCUGUGAGAUCAUACCGUGAUAAAUGGCAUGCUUGUUAUCUAUAGAUGAGGCAGCUCCAUCUACGUCCUUAAGUGUUUGCUAGGUUGUGGUGUUGAGGGCCACACUCAUAGAAGCUGUCUUAAGUGUGUGUUAUUUCAGGCUGUUUAGGUACAGUAGAAUCUUGCUAAUCGAAACUUCGCUAAAUGAAACCAAAUUAGAGGCAGAUGUUUUGUUUAAGCAGCAAUGCCAUUUUAAGCAAUGUUUAUUUACCGAGAUUCUGCUCUAUUCUUCAUUUUGAAAUUAUGAGUGUUAAAUGUUAUAACACUUGUCACUUGUAGUUAUGUUCGCUAUAUUUUUUUGCCUAAGUUGGAUGCUUUCCAAACUUUAUUGACCUGUUUAGAUCGCAGGUGGGUGUAAAACAUUUUUUUCCAUGCAGAGCUAAGCCUGAAUGCUUUGUUCUGCUGAGAAUGCAUGUCUCAGUACCUCUGACCUGCCAUAGCUAGGCAUCCCAUAUGAGCACUGAUGUGUUAAGUGUUGUGCUGUACUAUAUUUUUGUACUGAGGCACUACAUUUAUGGGAAAUGAUCUUGUAUUCAAGUAUUAUUUAAAGUCUAUUUUUGUUUUACUUUUUUAUAUAUUUUUUUACUGGCAUGCUAAUGUGCUUUAUACUUCAUUAAACUGUUUUGGUUUGAAUAAAGGCAAAGACCUUGUCGCUGGCCCUGCUUUUUUACUGAUGUUUUGACAAGAGAUUCAGUAUUUGUUGAAGUCAUUGCUAUUAUCAUUGCAGGGCCAGUGCUUUGUAGCAAUGCCUUUUGUGAUGCUAAUACCUUUUCAUGCUUUUUGGGCUGGGCCAUAGGUCAGAUAGAUGGCCCGCCCACGUUAUCAGUGGAAUUGGCUAGCCGUCAGUGUUGAAUAAAACCGGCAUAGAAUUAAGCAUAACGCAUUGCUACAAAAACUGGCCCUGUUAUGGCUAUAUUUGAUUAAUGUUUAGGAAUCUGGCUUUCCAGAAAUCUGUCUGUUAUGUUUUGGUGAAUAAAUUGCAAACAAUGCUAGCUGCA